UUUCCGGUUGAUCCCGCCAGAGGUUACUGCUAUCGAGAUUCGAUUAAGCCAUGCGAGUUGAAUGUUCUUCGUGAACAUGGCGGACUGCUCAGUAACACGUGGACAACCUACCCUUGGAUCUGGGAUAAACCCGGGAAACUGGGCAUAAUACCGGAUAAGCCACAUAUGCUGGAAUGCUUUGUGGCUCAAAGCUCCGGCGUCCAAGGAUGGGUCUGCGGCCUAUCAGGGUAGUAGUGGGUGUAAUGUACCUACUAGCCUACGACGGGUACGGGUUGUGAGAGCAAGAGCCCGGAGAUGGAUUCUGAGACACGAAUCCAGGCCCUACGGGGUGCAGCAGGCGCGAAAACUUUACAAUGCGGGAAACCGCGAUAAGGGAAUCUCGAGUGCCAGCAUAUAAUGUUGGCUGUCCAGAUGCCUAAAAAGCAUUUGUUAGCAAGGGCCGGGCAAGACCGGUGCCAGCCGCCGCGGUAACACCGGCGGCCCGAGUGGUAACCGUUAUUAUUGGGUCUAAAGGGUCUGUAGCCGGCCGAAUAAGUCUCUUGGGAAACCUGGCAGCUUAACUGUCAGGCAGUCAGGGGAUACUGUUCGGCUUGGGACCGGGAGAGGUGAGAGGUACCUCGGGGGUAGGGGUGAAAUCUUGUGAUCCUCGAGGGACCACCAGUGGCGAAGGCGUCUCACCAGAACGGGUCCGACGGUAAGGGACGAAAGCUAGGGGCACGAACCGGAUUAGAUACCCGGGUAGUCCUAGCCGUAAACGAUGCUUGCUAGGUGUCAGCCACGGUGCGACCGUGGUUGGUGCCGUAGGGAAGCCGUGAAGCGAGCCACCUGGGAAGUACGGCCGCAAGGCUGAAACUUAAAGGAAUUGGCGGGGGAGCACUACAACGGGUGGAGCCUGCGGUUUAAUUGGAUUCAACGCCGGGA
rnacentral:rRNA from 1 species